CCCCUCACACCCCUAUCAUCCAAUAAAUAGAAAACAUGAUUAGGCGAAGUUCAACUCCCGAUGUUUUGCAAACAUCUCUCAGUAUAUAUCAAUUCAAAAGUGCCCUUUAGCAAAAAUCUGCCCCCCUUGCUUUCACAUUGUUCCGGCGUCCCUGUGUAUAUAAUUAUAAUAAAUUCUCCCAAGCCCCCCCCCCGGCCACGAAUAGACCUCUGACUACAUACAGUAUGCGUUAUUAACCCUUUAAGUGGCAAUGCACUCUGAUGCACCCUAAUUCAGAAUUUUACUCUGUCUAAUGCCAGACAAGCAUACUGAAGAUUCUUUCUCUCCAGAAAACAUCGAUCCAUACCACCCCCACAGAGGAAAUAGGAAGCUAACCCCCCUACCCCCUUCGUAUGAUCCGUUCCCUGAUCAACUCAAGGCAGCACAUUUUAUUUUAAGGAGAAGGUUCUUUUAAUAUGUUCCAGGUAGGAAAACAGUAGAAAAGUUUGGUGAUCCCAAAAAGGUGUCAAUUUCCACUAACAAUGUUGAUUCUUAUGCAAGUUGGAAAAGGAAAGUUCUGGCCACUUUCAACCGAAAAUAGUGUAUGGAAUAAUGAAUGAAUUAGAUGUUAAUGAGUCUGAUGAUGAAAAUAUUGGAAGUGAAUCAGAUUAAAAGACAAAACCUUUACUGUACACACAUCCCACUCGUAUUUUAAUGUAGCAAUAAUUUUUUACAGUUGUGAAGGGUUGUUUUGUGUUAAAUCAUGGAUAAUAAAAUAAAUUUAUUUUAUUAUCCGUGGUUAAAUAGAGCAUGUACAUG
rnacentral:lncRNA from 1 species